GAUGAACGCUAGCUACAGGCUUAACACAUGCAAGUCGAGGGGAAACGACAUCGAAAGCUUGCUUUUGAUGGGCGUCGACCGGCGCACGGGUGAGUAACGCGUAUCCAACCUGCCCAUCACUUGGGAAUAACCUUGCGAAAGUAAGACUAAUACCCAAUGAUAUCCCACGAAGGCAUCGGAAUGGGAUUAAAGAUUUAUCGGUGAUGGAUGGGGAUGCGUCUGAUUAGCUUGUUGGCGGGGUAACGGCCCACCAAGGCAACGAUCAGUAGGGGUUCUGAGAGGAAGGUCCCCCACAUUGGAACUGAGACACGGUCCAAACUCCUACGGGAGGCAGCAGUGAGGAAUAUUGGUCAAUGGGCGAGAGCCUGAACCAGCCAAGUAGCGUGCAGGAAGACGGCCCUAUGGGUUGUAAACUGCUUUUAUAAGGGAAUAAAGUGGGUCACGUGUGACUUUUUGCAUGUACCUUAUGAAUGAGGACCGGCUAAUUCCGUG
rnacentral:rRNA from 1 species